rnacentral:rRNA from 1 species
AACUACGGCCAUGACACCCGGACUGUGCCGGAUCUCAUCUGAUCUCGGACGCUAACCAGGGUUGGGCCUGGUUAGUACUUGGAUGGGAGGCCACUUGGGAAAACGGGGUGCUGUAGGCU